rnacentral:lncRNA from 1 species
GCCCGAAGAGAGAAGCUGUUUUCUCUCAGAGAUGGAACAUGUUAGCUGGUUGCCAUGAUGUCUUCAUUUGUCCAUCGCUGCCCCUCUGUGAGCAGGCAGCCAUCAGGACAGAGAGUGGCAUGCUGGACAGGCCGACUCUGACAAGGAGCAAGCUUUCUCCCACCUGCACCAUGCAAUUCCAGCACAUGUGGGUAACAUGUGCUACGAAGUCAGAGGACCUGCAUUGCAACUGUGGCAAAUUGCUUAAGCUUUUGGAGCCUGAGCUGCUUGGGCUAUAAGACGGGUGAAUGGUACCCACAGUCAGAUGUGUUUCUGGAAGAAAUGACAUCAGCAUGCCUAUCCCUGUCUCUGGCCAAGCCUCCUACUGGCCUAUGGAGGCUUCCCUCGGUGAGCACAAAAGACGUUGCAGGCAAAUCCACCCUCUUCUGUACCAGGCAGAGCUUUGACUCAAAUCCCUAGAAGACUUCUACCAUGGAAAUGGGAGCUGGGCCCUGUGUGAGUGUCAAGAGUCUUUUGCUUUUUUUAUCUUAGGGCUAGAGUUGGGCCAGGCAAUUUGGUUUUUCAUCAGGUUAGAAAACCUGCCCAAGAUGAUAGCAUCCAUGUGUAACAGAGCCCAGGCCCUAAGCCCACAUCUGCUGAUCCCAAAGCCUAGCUCCUUCCUCUCCCUCUCCAUUUUAUACUGAUGGGCAUGGAAUCCAAAGGGACCACUUUGGUGCCUGUCAGAUUACUGAGAACUCAAAAACAAAACAAAACAAAACAAAGACAAAUGGCAACAAGGAAACCCAAAACAACAGCAAAACAGAACAGCUGCAGCUGAUCCUGGAGAAGAUGCCCUGGGGGCUUCCUGGCUUUCCCGCCCUUUGGGGUAGAUCAUGGCAGAUGGGCCACCCUGACUUGGUUUGAUCCUCAGUUAUUGCAGCACCCACACAACUCUGCUCCUCAGUCCCUCACCAAAGACUCACCUUCUGUGGCAGAAACCAGCCACAGUGGGAUGAGACAGGGUGGGGUCCAGCGUGCACCAUUCCUUGCUGCAGGACUCCCUGGUGAAAUAAGGAGAGAGCCAGUGGGGUGUGGCUUAGCGGUGCUGGACCCAUGGGGUGUGACUUAAUGGUGCUGACCCAGUAGGCAUGGCUUAGUGGUGCUGCACCAGUAGGGUGUGGCUUAAUGACACUAGCAGGAGCCCCAUGAUUAUGCACGUGGAGUGGCAGGGUCAGCGAUGAGAAAUUCGGCAAGUUGGCUAGCCCAGCCUCCUUCCCAACAGUCUCCGCCAACACCCAACAUUGACAGCACCAGCUCUCAGGAGAAUGCUCUGGUGGCAGCACCCACAAGCUCUGUGGUCACGGCUUUCCCUGCCUGAUCUCCACGCCACUGCACACCAGCCUGAGAGACAGAGCACGACUCCAUCUCAAAGAAAAAACAAAAAAGAAAAGAAAA